GGAGUUGUGGCUCAGUGGUAGAGUGCUUGCCUAGCGUGCAUGAGUCACUGGGUUCGAUCCUCAGCACCA
rnacentral:tRNA from 1 species